rnacentral:tRNA from 4 species
GCGGGUAUAGUAUAGGGGUAUUAUGCGACCUUCCCAAGGUUGAGAGACGGGUCCGAGUCCCGUUACCCGCUCCC